AUUGAACGCUGGCGGCAGGCCUAACACAUGCAAGUCGAGCGGAUGAAGGGAGCUUGCUCCUGGAUUCAGCGGCGGACGGGUGAGUAAUGCCUAGGAAUCUGCCUGGUAGUGGGGGAUAACGUCCUGAAACUGGCGCUAAUACCGCAUACGUCCUGAGGGAGAAAUUGGGGGAUCUUCGGACCUCACGCUAUCAGAUGAGCCUAGGUCGGAUUAGCUAGUUGGUGGGGUAAAGGCCUACCAAGGCGACGAUCCGUAACUGGUCUGAGAGGAUGAUCAGUCACACUGGAACUGAGACACGGUCCAGACUCCUACGGGAGGCAGCAGUGGGGAAUAUUGGACAAUGGGCGAAAGCCUGAUCCAGACAUGCCGCGUGUGUGAAGAAGGUCUUCGGAUUGUAAAGCACUUUAAGUUGGGAGGAAGGGCAGUAAGUUAAUAACUUGCUGUUUUGACGUUACCAACAGAAUAAGCACCGGCUAACUUCGUG
rnacentral:rRNA from 1 species